GCUGAUGUCGCAUAGUGGUUGAUUGCGCCUGCCUUGUAAGCAGGAGGAGAAAUCCCUCGUCAGUUCGAAUCUGACCAUCAGCU
rnacentral:tRNA from 1 species